GGCCCCGCACAAGCGGCGGAGCAUGCGGAUUAAUUCGAUGCAACGCGAAGAACCUUACCUGGGUUUGACAUAUAGGGAAAUCUUCUGGAGACAGGAGGUCGGUUCGUCCGGUCCUAUACAGGUGGUGCAUGGCUGUCGUCAGCUCGUGUCGUGAGAUGUUGGGUUAAGUCCCGCAACGAGCGCAACCCUCGUCCUAUGUUGCCAGCGGAUCAUGCCGGGGACUCAUAGGAGACUGCCGGGGUCAACUCGGAGGAAGGUGGGGAUGACGUCAAGUCAUCAUGCCCCUUAUGUCCAGGGCUUCACGCAUGCUACAAUGGCCGGUACAAAGGGCUGCAAUCCUGCAAAGGUGAGCGAAUCCCAAAAAGCCGGUCUCAGUUCGGAUUGGGGUCUGCAACUCGACCCCAUGAAGUCGGAGUCGCUAGUAAUCGCAGAUCAGCAACGCUG
rnacentral:rRNA from 1 species